UUUCUGUUAAUAUUAUUUUUAUUUUAUUAAUGUCUUCAUUGACAUAUAUAAAUACGUCUAUCAUUGUCACAUAUCCAUUAAGAACUCUAAUUCUGAUAUCACUACUACCUGACAUCCAAUAUAACCAAUUGGUGAGAGACUAAAAUAUAAGUACCUUGCACACAAACACAACCCAUGGGAAGGUUUUAAAGGAUUAACAUGGCGACAUGCUUUCAUUUUAUUUUGGGCAAGAGCACCUCAUCGUUACUCUAAUAAUAUGAAAUUUCGUAAUACAUUGUGAAUACAUUCCGAAUCCUGUCCAUGUGCGUUCUUGCGACUACAGAAUUGAAAUACACAUUCCCCUGCACAACCUGACUAACACUUUCUCUUAAUGUAUUGUGUUUAUGGACGCCCACUUCUAGAAAUUUCUUGUGAUUUUUUAUUUGUAAUGACUAUGGAUAAUCAUUCGGUUAUAUAAUUCCAAAUAGACUGGUGUUAUAAUCUAUGAUUAUGAAUGUGAACAAUACUAUAGCUACAUAACUGUGUGGAACGUAACACUAUCUAUUAUCUAAUGAAGAGACUACUCCCGGAGCGUUUCAGGUUUGUUUAAUUCUACGAGUGCUAUUUCGAAUGGCGCUACAUUCUGAUUGGUAUGCAAAUCAUUUCCAGACCAGGAAUUAUAAUGGGGUUAGGACUGUGCAAUAUGAAAGUACCCACAACUUUGGCCACAUGUAGAGGUAAAGGCAAUACGAUUUUAAUGCUGCAACAAUGAUGUACCACAAUGAAUCACAAAUCACAAAUUCCACGCCAUGUGAUUUUGGGUGAUUUGAAUAUGAAAUCAUUUUCAUUUCCGGUUAUAUUAGAAGCACAACAAAUGGAAGCAAUUGAAAUAUGAAAUUAAAAUUAAAAGACUGCUAGUACUUCAGAUUUGGAAUAAAAUAAGAUGCGAAGACUUAGGUCCGUUUUUCUACAAUGUAUUGACUCAGAAGAACUCCAAGUUUAUAUUGCUUGGAAGAUGGAUUUGGGUGUUCAUUUAAAAAUCGUCUGUUAUUGAAAUUAGUUGAUGAUUUGCCAAUUUAGCUUGUGCUAAGUAUCCUGUGUUAAUUUUUAAGAAGAAAACUGUGUUAGAAGAAGACUUCUGGGCAUUCGUCACUAUUUGUUUAUUGGAACCAAUAGUGAAGAACACUUGGUGGAAGCGUAAUUUGCAUAAAAUUCAUACAACUUUUACAAUGGUGCUAUCAACUUAAGGAGAUCGUAUAAUUUACUGUUGUUAUUUUAACUAAGAAGUGCAAUUAAUAUUAUAGAUUGGAAGGUGUUUGGAUGUGCUUACAUGUUGCACAUUUUGGAUUAUGAGCACAUAAUAAAAUUAAAUAUCCGGACUGUGUUUAAAUCUGUUUAACGGAAACUGUUUAUUUAACGGAUAUAUUAGUUACUUAUGAAGUUGUUUUGAUCUACGCGGCAGAAUUCGUGUACUGAAGCAGGACAAUUACACGAUUACAGGACUGUGAUUAUGCAAAAACUGACUACCAUUCCAUUUUCCAUCAUUGGGUUACUCUGCACACUUAUGGAUUGACAAAUUUUACUGGAUAUGAACUUAUGAACUGUUGCGUAUAUGGAAACCCACCUUAUAAGUUAUGAAUUCGUUCGCACCUAAGUUCUUUAUUUACUGUAUUCGUGAUGAUUGCACAUCGUAACUUAUAAAAGAGGUUGAUAGAGAUUUUCAUAAAUACCGGUUUUACAAAUUUAAUAUUUCCAGCAGUAUAAAAAGUGUGAUGGACCCAUAUCUACAUAUGAAUUGCUAACACAUAUCGUAUAGGUAACUGUGUUGUUACUUGUUCUUCCAAAUGGUUAUUUAAGUUUUUUUUUGGUAAUUUAAAAUGUCGAUUAUUUGAAGGAUUCAGUCCUCGAUUCUCAGACUGUUUAAUAUAAUUGAAUGAAC